GAUGAACGCUGGCGGCAUGCUUCAUACAUGCAAGUCGAACGGAGGUAGUAAUAUCUCAGUGGCGACCGGGUGAGUAACACGUAGGUAAUCUACCUCGCAGUGGGGAAUAACUAUUCGAAAGAAUAGCUAAUACCGCAUACAGUCCGCCAAACCAGUGUUUGGUUGACCAAAGGUCUUCGGAUCGCUGCGAGAGGAGCCUGCGGCCCAUCAGCUAGUUGGAGAGGUAACGGCUCACCAAGGCGACGACGGGUAGGGGACCUGAGAGGGUGACCCCCCACACUGGAACUGAAACACGGUCCAGACACCUACGGGUGGCAGCAGUAGGGAAUAUUGCGCAAUGGGCGAAAGCUUGACGCAGCAAUGCCGCGUGGACGAUGAAGGCCUUCGGGUUGUAAAGUCCUUUGGGUGGGACAAGGAAGGAUGGUACCACCAGAAUAAGCAUCGGCUAACUACGUGCCAGCAGCCGCGGUAAU
rnacentral:rRNA from 1 species